rnacentral:rRNA from 1 species
UACGGGGGGGGCAAGCGUUGUUCGGAAUUACUGGGCGUAAAGGGUUCGUAGGUGGCUUGCUCAGUCAGACGUGAAAUCCCUCAGCUUAACUGGGGAACUGCGUCUGAUACUGGCGAGCUUGAGUGCAGGAGAGGAACGCGGAAUUCCAGGUGUAGCGGUGAAAUGCGUAGAUAUCUGGAGGAACACCGGGUGGCGAAGGCGGCAUCCUGGACCGGUAUUGACACUGAGGCGCGAAAGCCAGGGGAGCAAACGGG